UACCAGUGGGUGAACGAGCUCCUUGUCUC
rnacentral:piRNA from 1 species